UCCGGUUUGUCACCGGCAGUCUCCCUAGAGUUCCCGACCGAAUCUCUGGAAACCGUCCUACCAUGUCAAACGCUGGUAAGGUUCUGCGCGUUGCUUCGAAUUAAACCACAUGCUCCACCGCUUGUGCAGGCCCCCGUCAAUUUCUUUGAGUUUUAACCUUGCGGCCGUACUCCCCAGGCGGAUGACUUAACGCGUUAGCUGCGCCACCGAAACCCUAAGGGCCCCGACAGCUAGUCAUCAUCGUUUACGGCGUGGACUAC
rnacentral:misc_RNA from 1 species